rnacentral:rRNA from 1 species
AGAGUUUGAUCCUGGCUCAGGAUGAACGCUAGCGGCAGGCUUAACACAUGCAAGUCGAACGGCAGCGGGGAUUCACUUCGGUGAAUCUGCCGGCGAGUGGCGCACGGGUGAGUAACACGUAUGCAACCUGCCUCUGUCAGGGGUAUAACUCUGCGAAAGUAGGGCUAAUACCGCGUAUAUUCCCGGAGGGCAUCCUCCGGGGAGGAAAGGUUUCGGCCGGACAGAGAUGGGCAUGCGGCGCAUUAGGCAGUUGGCGGGGUAACGGCCCACCAAACCGACGAUGCGUAGGGGUUCUGAGAGGAAGGUCCCCCACACUGGUACUGAGACACGGACCAGACUCCUACGGGAGGCAGCAGUGAGGAAUAUUGGUCAAUGGCCGGAAGGCUGAACCAGCCAAGCCGCGUGAAGGACGAAGGUGCCAAGCAUUGUAAACUUCUUUUGUCAAGGGACAAAAUCAGGCUCGAGAGCCUGACCGAGGGUACUUGAAGAAAAAGCAUCGGCUAACUCCGUGCCAGCAGCCGCGGUAAUACGUAGGGGGCGAGCGUUAUCCGGAUUCAUUGGGCGUAAAGCGCGCGUAGGCGGCCGCCUAAGCGGAACCUCUAACCCCGGGGCUCAACCUCGGGCCGGGUUCCGGACUGGGCGGCUCGAGUGCGGUAGAGGAGAGCGGAAUUCCCGGUGUAGCGGUGGAAUGCGCAGAUAUCGGGAAGAACACCGAUGGCGAAGGCAGCUCUCUGGGCCGUCACUGACGCUGAGGCGCGAAAGCUGGGGGAGCGAACAGGAUUAGAUACCCUGGUAGUCCCAGCCGUAAACGAUGGACGCUAGGUGUGGGGGGAACAUCCCUCCGUGCCGCAGCCAACGCAUUAAGCGUCCCGCCUGGGGAGUACGGCCGCAAGGCUAAAACUCAAAGGAAUUGACGGGGGCCCGCACAAGCAGCGGAGCAUGUGGCUUAAUUCGAAGCAACGCGAAGAACCUUACCAGGGCUUGACAUGCGAGUGAAGCCGGGGAGACCCGGUGGCCGAGAGGAGCUCGCGCAGGUGGUGCAUGGCUGUCGUCAGCUCGUGUCGUGAGAUGUUGGGUUAAGUCCCGCAACGAGCGCAACCCCCGUCCCGCGUUGCCAGCAUUAGGUUGGGGACUCGCGGGAGACUGCCGGCGUCAAGCCGGAGGAGGGUGGGGACGACGUCAAGUCAUCAUGCCCCUUAUGCCCUGGGCUGCACACGUGCUACAAUGGCCGGUACAGAGGGUUGCCACCCCGCGAGGGGGAGCGGAUCCCGGAAAGCCGGCCCCAGUUCGGAUCGCAGGCUGCAACCCGCCUGCGUGAAGCCGGAGUUGCUAGUAAUCGCGGAUCAGCACGCCGCGGUGAAUACGUUCCCGGGCCUUGCACACAAAGCCCGUCAAG